rnacentral:rRNA from 1 species
GUGGGGAAUAUUGGACAAUGGGCGAAAGCCUGAUCCAGCCAUGCCGCGUGUGUGAAGAAGGUCUUCGGAUUGUAAAGCACUUUAAGUUGGGAGGAAGGGCAGUAAGUUAAUACCUUGCUGUUUUGACGUUACCGACAGAAUAAGCACCGGCUAACUUCGUGCCAGCAGCCGCGGUAAUACGAAGGGUGCAAGCGUUAAUCGGAAUUACUGGGCGUAAAGCGCGCGUAGGUGGUUUUGUAAGUUGGAGGUGAAAUCCCCGGGCUCAACCUGGGAACUGUCUCCAAAACUGCAUGACUAGAGUACGGUAGAGGGUAGUGGAAUUUCCUGUGUAGCGGUGAAAUGCGUAGAUAUAGGAAGGAACACCAGUGGCGAAGGCGACUACCUGGACUGAUACUGACACUGAGGUGCGAAAGCGUGGGGAGCAAACAGGAUUAGAUACCCUAGUAGUCC